CACAUUUUGGACGUCGACCGGCGCACGGGUGAGUAUCGCGUAUCCAACCUGCCCUUUACUUGGGGAUACCCCGUUGAAAGACGGCCUAAUACCCGAUGUAAUUCAUUGAUGGCAUCAGAUAUGAAUAAAAGAUUUAUCGGUAAAGGAUGGGGAUGCGUCUGAUUAGCUUGUUGGUGAGGUAAAGGCUCACCAAGGCGACGAUCAGUAGGGGUUCUGAGAGGAAGGUCCCCCACAUUGGAACUGAGACACGGUCCAAACUCCUACGGGAGGCAGCAGUGAGGAAUAUUGGUCAAUGGACGGAAGUCUGAACCAGCCAAGUAGCGUGCAGGAAGACGGCCCUAUGGGUUGUAAACUGCUUUUAUACGAGAAUAAUUUGAUGCACGUGUGCGUUAUUGCAUGUAUCGUAUGAAUAAGGACCGGCUAAUUCCGUGCCAGCAGCCGCGGUAAUACGGAAGGUCCAGGCGUUAUCCGGAUUUAUUGGGUUUAAAGGGAGUGUAGGCGGUUUGUUAAGCGUGUUGUGAAAUUUAGGUGCUCAACAUUUAACUUGCAGCGCGAACUGUCAGGCUUGAGUACACGCAACGUAUGCGGAAUUCAUGGUGUAGCGGUGAAAUGCUUAGAUAUCAUGAAGAACUCCGAUUGCGAAGGCAGCAUACGGGAGUGUAACUGACGCUUAAGCUCGAAGGUGCGGGUAUCGAACAGGAUUAGAUACCCUGGUAGUCCGCACAGUAAACGAUGGAUGCCCGCUGUUAGCGCCUGGCGU
rnacentral:rRNA from 1 species